GAUUAACGCUAGCGGCAGGCAUAAUACAUGCAAGUUGAACGGGAUUAGUUUAGCAAUAGACUAUGAGAGUGGCGCACGGGUGCGUAACACGUAUGCAACCUGCCCUUGACUGGAGAAUAGCCUCUCGAAAGAGAGAUUAAUGUUCCAUAACAUAAUGAUAGAGCAUUCUAUUAUUAUCAAAGCUCCGGCGGUCAAGGAUGGGCAUGCGGUUGAUUAGCUAGUUGGUGAGGUAACGGCUCACCAAGGCGACGAUCAAUAGGGGGUCUGAGAGGAUGUCCCCCCACACUGGUACUGAGACACGGACCAGACUCCUACGGGAGGCAGCAGUAGGGAAUAUUGGUCAAUGGAGGCAACUCUGAACCAGCCAUGCCGCGUGCAGGAAGACUGCCCUAUGGGUUGUAAACUGCUUUUGUACGGGAAGAAACCUUCGAAUGCGUUCGAAGUUGACGGUACCGUGAGAAUAAGGAUCGGCUAACUUCGUGCCAGCCGCCGCGGUAAGAC
rnacentral:rRNA from 1 species